UGGGGAAUAUUGGACAAUGGGCGAAAGCCUGAUCCAGCCAUGCCGCGUGUGUGAAGAAGGUCUUCGGAUUGUAAAGCACUUUAAGUUGGGAGGAAGGGCAGUAAGCGAAUACCUUGCUGUUUUGACGUUACCGACAUAAUAAGCACCGGCUAACUCUGUGCCAGCAGCCGCGGUAAUACAGAGGGUGCAAGCGUUAAUCGGAAUUACUGGGCGUAAAGCGCGCGUAGGUGGUUCGUUAAGUUGAAUGUGAAAGCCCCGGGCUCAACCUGGGAACUGCAUCCAAAACUGGCGAGCUAGAGUAGGGCAGAGGGUGGUGGAAUUUCCUGUGUAGCGGUGAAAUGCGUAGAUAUAGGAAGGAACACCAGUGGCGAAGGCGACCACCUGGGCUCAUACUGACACUGAGGUGCGAAAGCGUGGGGAGCAAACAGG
rnacentral:rRNA from 1 species